CGCUACUUCCAGCGAUCGGUCGCC
rnacentral:siRNA from 1 species